rnacentral:rRNA from 1 species
CGUCAAGUCAGCGUGUCCCUUACGUCCAGGGCUACACACACGCUACAAUGGCCGGUACAACGGGUCGCGACACGGCGACGUGAAGCUAAUCCCUGAAAGCCGGCCCCAGUUCAGAUUGCAGGCUGAAACCCGCCUGCAUGAAGGCGGAGUUGCUAGUAACCGUGGGUCAGCAUACCGCGGUGAAUACGUUCCCGGGCCUU